rnacentral:lncRNA from 1 species
ACAAAUUAUCAGAUUAUCCCCACUUCUACGUGGAUGACAGAUUUAGCUUGUGAUUGAUCACAUGGGUAGGCUAUACUCCCUGGAAAGAGUAUGAAACCUCUUCCCAAUGUGAGGUUUCUUCCUUAGGAGGACGAGACAUUGGACUCCAUGUUGCUUGCAUGGUUUAUGUUGGUUAAGAGAACCUCCCUUAAGAUGAAAU